rnacentral:misc_RNA from 1 species
GUAUUGAUUGCGUGUGAUCGCAAAUAAAAUAAAAGACAUUCUACACUGUAUCGAGUUUGUGUGAAAACGUGAGCCCCCGAAAGGGGACCCACGCGGUGGUGCACAUAGGGGUGAGAUGGAUGUUUGAGAACGCUCGGGCGUGCACGACGAAAAAGUCAGCGACAGCCCUCGCGCCUCGGUUUUACGAUAAUGAUCCUUCCGCAGGUUCACCUACGGAAA